rnacentral:lncRNA from 1 species
GGAUCUGAAGGUUCUGCUGGCAGUUGUGCUUCCUGGAGAUGGCAGUAGUGAUUCUGAAAUUCUGAUUGAAAAAUCACAAGAAAUUAUAUUCUUGUCAAUAGUUUGCAAUGGUUAUUUUAAAUCAUACAAUAGCAUUCAUGAAAACAAUAAAAUAUAUGUAACUAGUUUUUAUUGAUGCAAGAUAAUGGAUAACAAAAUUUUAGUUUACAUAUUUUAUCAAACAUAUAGCAAUCAAACCAAAGUUUAGUAAAAUCAAUAACUGAUGUUUACCCAAGGGCAGCCUCAACAACUAGGUGAGGGGCUGAAACGGAACAUUGUUGGAGCUUCGUUAGGUGUUAAUGGUGGUUGCUGGUAAUGGGGAUGGAUGGAAAUGAUGGUGUCGUAGAUGGUGCAACAUUUGAAUGAUCUUUAUUGCAACGUUUAGACAACCUUUGUUGCAGCAUCUGAAUG